UGUGUAGGUUGUUGUAUUAGUCUUCUGUCAAAAUCCGGGGCUCAACCCCGGACCUGCAGAGGAAACGGUACGACUAGAGGAUGCGAGAGGUGAAUGGAACUCAUGGAGUAGGGGUGAAAUCCGUUGAUAUCAUGGGGAACACCAAAGGACGAAGGCAAUUCACUGGCGCAUUUCUGACGCUGAGACACGAAAGCGUGGGUAGCGAACG
rnacentral:rRNA from 1 species